UCCGAGCUGGUGUAGAGGUAACAUCUGUCGCUCUCAUUUCUGAUCCAGAAUUGCAAUGAAAGCCGCCGACAUGCCCGGGGUUCGAUUCCCCGGCUCGGAG